UACGAAGGGGGCUAGCGUUGCUCGGAACCACUGGGCGUAAAGCGCACGUAGGCGGAUUGCUAAGUCAGGGGUGAAAUCCUGGAGCUCAACUCCAGAACUGCCUUUGAUACUGGCGAUCUUGAGUCCGGGAGAGGUGAGUGGAACUGCGAGUGUAGAGGUGAAAUUCGUAGAUAUUCGCAAGAACACCAGUGGCGAAGGCGGCUCACUGGCCCGGUACUGACGCUGAGGUGCGAAAGCGUGGGGAGCAAACAGG
rnacentral:rRNA from 1 species